rnacentral:sRNA from 1 species
GUAACGAGGAUGGCUUUUCUGGUCCAAAUUUCUAGCUUUCUGGGUGAUACCUGUGAAGCCCAUAUGGAUAGUCCAGAAACUUCGAAGUAGAGGAGGCAAUUCGGUACGUGUGAUGUGCUGCACAAUUCAAGGAGAUACCAGCAUCGAUAACAUUAUGAUUAUGCUUCUAGAACCUAGUCUGGUAGAAGGACUUCCUACCUAGUAAGUGACCAGCGGAUAUAUAUGUUCCUGGGAGAUCAGCAAAUGCAACAAGGAUCUUAUACUACCUCGGGAAGAACUGUGAGCCAUGUAUCGAUGCCCCUUGCUCGGUUGAGAGACUUAGGAAACGGCUUUAAAAAGAUCCGAUUGGUACCCGUUUAGUAGCCACUUUUAACUGGAAAGUUUAUGAUUUUCCACUCGUGUUUUGUGAUUUGCCUUGUAUACACCGCUCUGCGGAUGUAGUUCUACAUCUAUGAGGAUUGGUAACCA